rnacentral:rRNA from 1 species
UGAGGAAUAUUGGUCAAUGGGCGCAAGCCUGAACCAGCCAUCCCGCGUGCAGGAAGACGGCUCUAUGGGUUGUAAACUGCUUUUUCAGGGGGAGAAUUUUUCUGUCGUGACAGGUAUUGACGGUACCCUGCGAAUAAGCAUCGGCUAACUCCGUGCCAGCAGCCGCGGUAAUACGGAGGAUGCGAGCGUUAUCCGGAUUUAUUGGGUUUAAAGGGUGCGUUGGCGGAUUGAUAAGUCAGUGGUGAAAACCUGCAGCUUAACUGUAGACUUGCCGUUGAUACUGUCAGUCUUGAGUGUGGACAAGGUAGGCGGAAUGUGUAAUGUAGCGGUGAAAUGCUUAGAUAUUACACAGAACACCGAUUGCGAAGGCAGCUUACUGGACCAUUACUGACGCU